UUAGAGCGCACGCCUGAUAAGCGUGAGGUCGAUGGUUCAAGUCCAUUUAGGCCCAUAUGGGGAAUUAGCUCAGCUGGGAGAGCACCUGCUUUGCAAGCAGGAGGUCAUCGGUUCGAUUCCGUUAUUCUCCAUUAUCAACCAUAAGGUUGAUAGAGUUUGUACUUUGAAAACUAAAUACUAUCUAAUUUCUUUAUUAACAAAACAAUAAACCGAGAACACCGCGUUAUUUGAGUUUUAAUUAACGAAUUAUAAUCGCUAACUCAAUUAAUCAGACAAUCUUUGAUUGUUUAGGUUAAGUUAUGAAGGGCGCAUGGUGAAUGCCUUGGUACUAGGAGCCGAUGAAGGACGGGACUAACACCGAUAUGCUUCGGGGAGCGGUAAGUACGCUUUGAUCCGGAGAUUUCCGAAUGGGGCAACCCAAUCAGCUUAGUCGCUGAUUACUUGACUAGUGAAUACAUAGCUAGCAAGAGGUAGACGCAGUGAACUGAAACAUCUUAGUAGCUGCAGGAAGAGAAAGAAACAUCGAUUCCCUGAGUAGCGGCGAGCGAAAAGGGAAGAGCCCAAACCAACAAGCUUGCUUGUUGGGGUUGUAGGACUGAACAUUAGAGUUACCAAAGUGCGACGUAGUCGCAACAGUUGGGAAGCUGUGCCAUAGAGGGUGAAAGCCCCGUAGACGAAACGUCACACUCUCUGUUCAGGAUCCUGAGUACGGCGGGACACGUGAAACCCCGUCGGAACCCGCGAGGACCAUCUCGCAAGGCUAAAUACUCCCUAGUGACCGAUAGUGA
rnacentral:sRNA from 2 species